rfam:Oryza nivara chromosome 1, whole genome shotgun sequence.
AAAGACUCAAUUCUUGGGUUUCCGUGUUCAAUAUUUGACCGUCCGUCUUAUAUGAACUUUUUUUAUGAUUAGUAUUUUCAUUAUUGUUAGAUGAUAAAAUAUGAAUAAUAAUUUAUGCAUGACCUACCUAUUUAAAUUUCUUCAAAUAAGACGAACGGUCAAAUGUUAAACACUAGAACCCAGAAAUUGAGUUUUU